rnacentral:lncRNA from 1 species
AUAUAUUGACAGAACUUCAGUUUCAUCUGUUUGUUUGAGAGACUGUGCUGUUCCAAUAGCUUAUGUCACACAGAAUCAGCUGAGAGAAGUGGUCUACAAAAAACCAGGAAGGAAACGGCAUAUGUGGCUACGAAAGGCAAA